CUCCAAAUCCAAUCUAUGUUGUUCACUAAAUUUGACAGCCACGAUCAAAUAAUAUUUAACUCUUAAACUCCUCGUAACUUUUUUGUGAUUCACCUCCCCCAGUCAACACAAUUCUGUGUGUUUUUACUUACGGUCAGACUCUGAAGAGCUACUUAGGAGAUGAGCACAUAUUUUAACAAAAAUUUUAUUCUCUGUCCCAUUUAUUUGGUAUCUGGAACGAAGAGAAAACCUAAAAAUGAGAUCUAUUUCCAGCACUGCAAGCAACUUUGGAGGAGCUUACUUUUCCCCUGCUUCUUUGACUGGUUGUUACAUUUAUCUGUUUUCAAAUUUAUCUCCUUUUUGGUGAGAAAAGAGGUUAUAGGGAAAAGAGCAUUUGAAUGAAUUCUUCAAUUUCAUUUCAUUUAUGACUCUGGCUGUUAAUAGCGAUGUGCAUCUUGGCAAAUCAGCUUCUCCAAGGAACCCAUCUUGCUCUCUCCCCCAAACUCUGUUAAGGACCAUUCUGUUUAUUUCUUGUGUUUGUUACAGAGGUAAAAAUCAUAUAAAGCACGUAAAUGCCACCAACGGCAUCCUGAUCACCUAAACACCGCCUUUUAUGACUGGUCAACUAUGCAUCUUAUCUGUCUAGCUCUGUGGGUCACGGAUUCCUUUUUUUUUUUAUCCUUUUCCAGGUAUUAGUUUUCAGAUGAAAAGAGAUACGUGUUGUAACUUUUGUUUUGAUGGCCAUAUUUAAGUAAUCUGCAAUAUAUCUUGACAGUGACAAUGAAAACUAAUUAUGAAAUUCCAGAUGUCUAAUUGGUAACAAGACAGUGGCAUAGCCCAGGCAAGAUGAUCCUUACUAUCCUAGCAGUCAGCUUUUAGGACAGACAUCCCCCAGUCACGUAAGGGAUGACACUUGAUCACUGCUGUGCGAGCCUCUGUACGAGGCUCCCAGAUACAACAGGCGGUACAGUAAGAUUUCACUACUGAACUUCUUAUUAAAUAGCGAAAACACGGUAUCUGCUCCAAAUGGAUUCCAGACCUUGUAACAUUACUUUAAAAAUGUAAAGCACUAUGGUAAUGUCUUUUUCAGUUAUUGAAUAGGUGAGAAGUGCUGUUGGAAACGUGGGAAAAAUGUAUAGGCAAAAAAUAUAGACAAACAUAUAGACAAGCAAACCCAGAAACACUGGCCUGGUGAUUCUUAUAUGCAGGGACACAUAGCACUUUCCAUCCC
rnacentral:lncRNA from 1 species